CAGAGAGCAAAGUGACAGCUGUGCCUGGAAGUGCGGUCUCAAGUGGCAGCAGCGGCGGGAGGCCAGCUGCCAGAUGGCCCAAGAUGGCUGCUGAAGAGCCAGCCAUUUCAUCUGAGUUCAGCCGACAGGAAGAAGAGAGGAAGUAGGAAGAAGCUUGGUGAAAUUUCAGGGAAACUGAGGCCCAGGGAGUUGAAGUGACGGCAAACGGUCACACUUUAUGGUCCUCUUCAUGGGACGGCUGGGAAGGGAGUGGAUACAGCACCUGGCAGCCAGCGAGUGCCCCAUCAAGCAACCUGACCGCUGCUGGGGGGGCACAGGAGGCCGAGAGGGGAGCCCUGCCCAGAGAAGCAGUGGAGGACUCAGCCCACGCGUGUGGUGGCCGGAGGGACACUGGGCGGGGGCGGGAGAGGGAAGGAGAGCGAGAGAACAGAAUAAAGGGGAGCCAAGACCGUGACCACCCGUCUUGGGCAAUUUACCUGGCAUCUGUAAGCAUCGAUCGGUUGUUUACUUUCUCUGAUAAGUAACUGUUAGGAAAACUAUAUUGACCCAAAGCAGACCGGGGGUUAUGGGGCUGGGAAGGCAGACAGGCUCAAGGGCUUUUCCUGGUGCUGGGGUGUUCUAUGGCUUGAUGCUGGUGUAGUUACACAGUUGUGAAUGUUUGUCAGAAUCCAUCACACUGUACCCUGGAAGUGGUGAACUUUAUUAUAUGUAAGGUAUGCCCCGAGAAAGCUGAUUAAAGAAGGAACUCGCAAUACGAUUCUAUGUCUUACAAGAACAAUACAUGGUCAAUGCAGAAACUGAGAGUGGAGAAAAAAUAUUAAACCACACACAUCCCACCAUCACCUGGUGACAAGUAAUUUGAUAAAUAUCCUGCAGACCCUUUCCAUAAUAUGUAAAUGCAUGUCUAUUUCUUGCUUCACCUUUGCAGACAUUGAAGAUUAUUUAUUACCUGUUUUUUCCACAGAGUUAACUUUUUUAUUUCAUUCUUCCACAAUAAAAUGUUUAUUUCCCUCAUGAUAGCCCACGGUGAAGCUACUGUCAGGUUGGAUGAGCCCGUUCCUGUCGCCUCCUUGGUUAACUGUAUCUCAGGACUCCAUUCCGGGGUACCCGGCUGACCUGUCCCCAGGAGUUCUUAACCUUCUCUGCACAAGAAUGUCUCUGGCCACCUGGAGAAGUCAGCUGCAAAUAACAUUCUAAAGCUCAUAACACAAUCAACCGGAGAUUACGAAGGAAGCCGAUUAUGUUGGAACAUUCACCAAAAUCGAGUUCUUAGUUGGCUACAGUGUCCGAAGCAGGUGUAAGGCAGGUGGGGCAGAGGACCCCCUCGGACCCGGAGCCCGCAGAGGCUGGGCAGCAGCCCCAGCAGACCGGAAUGCACCGUGACACGCAGCCCCCUCCAGCCUGAGCAGAGCCACCUCGCACCCAAUCACGAGGGGCUUCACCCCGCGGCGCCCACAGAUGCUUACUGUUUCAAGCUCCCGGGCCCUGGUCUAGGACUACGGCACUUCCUGCAGGAAGCAUCACCGAAGCCGAGGGCUAAUCCCGGAGUAGAUGGCAAACGAGCAGAGGGGGAAUGUUCCCAUCAGAUGUCAUCAGGGAAAUGCAGCUGCAGACACGAGAGACACAGCUGCACCCCUGUGCGAACGGCUCGGACACGGAGUGUGGGUGAGGACGCGGCGUGGCAGGAUCUUCCUUCCUUGUGUGGAUACAGAACCGUGCGGGCACAGACAGCCAGCGUCUUCUUACAAGGCAAAACUAGUCCUACAGUAUAAUCUAGCAAUUACGUGCCUCAGUAUUUAGCCAAAUGAGUAGAAAAUUACAUGCACACAAGAACCUGCGUACAGACGAGCACAGCAGCUUUAUUUGUAACUGCAAGAUGGAAGCACCAGGGCGUCCUACAGGAGGGGAAAGUUUCCACCACUAUGGGCUCCCCCCUGGCCCUCAGCCCCCCACAAUGAAACAGCAUCAGAGAUAAAGGAACUGAACAAGAAAGCCUUGUGAAGAAGUGGAAUUUUCUUUUUUUAAAGAUUUAUUUAUUUAUGCGUAAAGAGCUGGGUGGGUGCAGACCAGAGGCUCAGGGGAGGGAGGUGAGAGGAUUCCCCAGGGGGCCGCCAGGCCCUUCCUGAGUUAUGAUCUGUCAGUACCAUUUGUUCACCAGUGGUAAUAAAUGCGCCUCCUUUACGCAAGAUGUUAGGAGUAAGCAGGAAGAAAAUAAUUUCUGGGAGUUCUCUAUCUCCUAUGCAAUUGUCUUAAAUUUAUUUUUUAUUAUUAAACAUUUUCCAUAUUGCAGUCUCCUUCCUAUUCAAUUUUUAUGUCGACCUAAAACUACUCUAAAAAAUAAACACAUCUACACACUGGUCCAGGGAGACACCCUGCUCCUCCUUCAUGCAUUUACCGGUGGGAGCGCUUCGCUGGGCUAACGUGGGGCUCAAAGGGGUGGCGAGCCUUCAAGACUGACAACUGAUUGCCACAGAUGCUACCGCUGGCUGUGACCUGUCGCCACAUUCAUUCGGGAAGGUUGUGUGAGGUUGGGGGGGGGGGUUCCCUGCCUCAGCCCUUAGGAUUAACUCCAGUGAGGGUUUCGUUGACUGAAAGAGCUCGCACAUUUGAAAGGUUUUUCUAGCGUUUGCCAAGCCGUCUUCUAGUCUACAGUUGGGUUUUUCUGCUCUCCUGGCUGAGCGGUCUGUUCCCCUGCCCUACCUGCAGGCUCUAAAUCCUCUACCCAGCGGGCGACGCCCUGGGCUAACAGCCGAGCCUCGGCACACUGCCCAGGCUGGCAGCUGGCGUCCCAGGGGCCUUCCCAGCCGCUCCCAGGCCCCUGCCCCCUCGGCUGCCUCGCUUCCUCUGGACCACUGCCCUGCUCCCCAGAAACAGGCCCUUCCUGCCUUCUGGUGACAUCACUGGGCUGCACUCCCAGGAGAGCCUGGCUCAGGGUCCGUAAAUGCGGCUUCCACGGAAGCAGGAAGUUCCCAGGUCCGCUUAGGCCGGGCACCUUCCCCGCUGCUUGGGGGAGUAUGUGGCUUGCAUGUCGCUCCUUGCUGGAGCAGAAGGUGCCCGCAACGCUGCUGGCUACCUGGCCCGCCUUCCCAGACAACAAAGAAUGCUCAUGCUGGGAUGGGUGGGAUGAGGAGGCUCCUCACACAACCUGUAGAAAACCUCACCCUUGCUAGACUUCGGGGCUCAGCCUUUUGGGACCGAUCCCACCUAGCCCGCCGGGUGACUAGUAACUUCCUCUCUCCACCUCUCUGUGCCAUCUGAUUGCUCUGGGAAACUGCCAUAACACCACCGCUGAGGAAGUCGUGGCAGUUUGGGGAGAGCGAAGGCAGCUUUCUCUGGAGGCCCAGCCGCGCAGCCUGC